rnacentral:rRNA from 1 species
ACGCUCGACACCUACGGGAUGCAGCAGUGGGGAAUAUUGCACAAUGGGGGAAACCCUGAUGCAGCGACGCCGCGUGGAGGAAGAAGGUCUUCGGAUUGUAAACUCCUGUUGUUGGGGAAAAAGAGGAUGGUACCCAACAAGGAAGUGACGGCUAACUACGUGCCUGCAGCCGCGGUAAUCUGAGCGGGCUGGCAAGGC